CUGACUGCUAUCGGAUUGGUACUAAGCCAUGUGAGUCAUUGUAGCAAUACAAGGCAGACGGCUCAGUAACACGUAGUCAAUCUAACCUAUGGACGGGGAUAACCUCGGGAAACUGAGGAUAAAACCCGAUAGAUCAUAAUGCCUGGAACGGUUUAUGGUCCAAAUGAUUCGUCGCCGUAGGAUGGGACUGCGGCCUAUCAGCUUGUCGGUGAGGUAAUGGCCCACCAAGGCUAUUACAGGUACGGGCUCUGAGAGGAGAAGCCCGGAGAUGGGUACUGAGACACGGACCCAGGCCCUAUGGGGCGCAGCAGGCGAGAAACCUUUGCAAUGUGCGCAAGCACGACAAGGUUAAUCCGAGUGUUUCCUGCUAAAGGAAUCUUUUGUUAGUUCUAAAACCACUGAUGAAUAAGGGGUGGGCAAGUUCUGGUGUCAGCCGCCGCGGUAAAACCAGCACCUCAAGUGGUCAGGAGGAUUAUUGGGCCUAAAGCAUCCGUAGCCUGUUCUGUAAGUUUUCGGUUAAAUCCAUUAGCUCAACUAAUGGGCCGCCGAAAAUACUGCAUAACUAGGGAGUGGGAGAGGUAGACGGUACUCGGUAGGAAGGGGUAAAAUCCUUUGAUCUAUUGAUGGCCACCUGUGGCGAAGGCGGUCUACCAGAACACGUUCGACGGUGAGGGAUGAAAGCUGGGGGAGCAAACCGGAUUAGAUACCCGGGUAGUCCCAGCUGUAAACGAUGCAGACUCGGUGAUGCGCUGGCUUGUGGCCAGUGCAGUGCCCGCAGGGAAGCCGUUAAGUUUGCCGCCUGGGAAGUACGUACGGAAGUAUGAAACUUAAAGGAAUUGGCGGGGGAGCACCA
rnacentral:rRNA from 1 species